UUAAGAUGAGAUAUCCCUGGGGACUUGAUCCCCUUGAAGGGUCGUUCGAGACCAGGACGUUGAUAGGUCAGGUGUGUAAGCGCAGUAAUGCGUUCAGCUAACUGAUACUAAUUGCCCGUAAGGCUUGAUCCUAUAACA
rnacentral:rRNA from 1 species